ACAAAACACCUCUCGAUACCUCUACCACUCUCCCUCUCCUAUCUUUUUUUUUUUCUCUCCAAAUCUCCAAACUCUCAUCACAUCCUUCCUUUCUCUUUCCCAUUCCAUGUUCCUUUUUUUAUAAUUCCAAGUUCUUCUCUUUCCUCUCAUUCUUUCCUUCAAUUGCUAACAUAUUUCCUUAGAAUCUCUUGAAACUUCAAAACCUACAGAUGAUUGAAGAACCACCACAAGUGCACAUUUGUAGGUGGAAAAUGUACUUCUCGUGAAAUGGUGGAGUCUCAUUACUUGAUUUAAGGUCAUCAUCGAAUCUGGUUUUGUUUCUUUUAACGUUUACAAGUGAUUUUUCCUUUCCUCUUGAUUUUAUUUUUCUUGCUAGCUUGUAAAGAUCACCAGAUUUCAAUUUCCACUUAAAUGUUACCAGUAGUAUAUGUGUGUUCCAAACAUUUGUACUUUUAAAAUGUUUCAUUAUCCCUCUUACGAGAGUAAUCUUGCAGCAAUCUUUGAAUCAAUUUUGCAAAGGGGGGCUUCCAAAUUAGCUAUUUCGUUCUUCUAGAGUGAGUACGAUUCGGAUGUUUUGUACUAAUUUUAGGGUUUCUUUUAUAUAUAGUCUCUCUUUCCCAUAUGGAUUAAGUUUCACUGUUCGUAAAUGUUGGAGCAAUUUUCUCAUUUGACUUCACCAUUGAUUAGAUUUGGUAAUGUUGGAAUUAAGGAGGCUGUUAGAGAUGUUAACUCCAACUUCACUUGCCUUGUAAGGACGAAACUUCUUAUUGAGAUGCAGAGUUCAAAUCACAGUGGAAUGGUUAGGAUGGUUGGAAGUGGUUUUUUAUAGUUGUUUUUCCGAAGAUUUCUUUUUAGACAUUUUUCAUUCUCCUAUUAUAUUAUUUUAUAUGCUAAGAAAAUCUUUGGGGGGAAAAAAGAAGAUAGAUUUUCCUUGGUACUUUAAUCCUUAAUGCAGAGAAUAUAACCGUCAUUUAAUUGCUGAAAAGGUUGUCUGUUCAUCUUACUUUCAGGAUCAUGAUGGUACACUUACUUCCAUCGUUGAAGACUUGACCUUACUUGGUUUCAUUUCCAGUGAGGUUUCUUCUCCUUCAUUUUUCUUUUUGAAAAAUUUUUAGUUUCCAAAGGUUAGAUUUAAUCUUAAUGAAUUUAUUGCUUUUUUUUAUUUAAAUUAGAUGAGAGGAGCUUUGCAAGACAUUUCUUAUCAUUUUGUUGUUGCAAUAGUUAUUGGAAAAUGCAGAGCCAAGGUACAUUCAUGUAAAAAAAAUGAAUAUUCUGGAGUAUUUUCAAAGUGAGACUCAUUUUAGCUAAUGAAUUAUUAUGC
rnacentral:lncRNA from 1 species